AUUGAACGCUGGCGGCAUGCCUUACACAUGCAAGUCGAACGGCAGCGGACCUUCGGGUGCCGGCGAGUGGCGAACGGGUGAGUAAUAUAUCGGAACGUACCUUUCAGUGGGGGAUAACGUAGCGAAAGUUACGCUAAUACCGCAUAUUCUGUGAGCAGGAAAGCAGGGGAUCGCAAGACCUUGCGCUGAUUGAGCGGCCGAUAUCAGAUUAGCUAGUUGGUGAGGUAAAGGCUCACCAAGGCGACGAUCUGUAGCGGGUCUGAGAGGAUGAUCCGCCACACUGGAACUGAGACACGGUCCAGACUCCUACGGGAGGCAGCAGUGGGGAAUUUUGGACAAUGGGCGCAAGCCUGAUCCAGCCAUGCCGCGUGAGUGAGAAGGCCUCGGUUGUAAG
rnacentral:rRNA from 1 species